ensembl:snRNA U6 U6 spliceosomal RNA
GUGCUCACUUUAGCAGCACAUAUACUAAAAUUGGAAUGAUACACAGAAGAUUAGCAUGGUCCCUGUGCAAGGAUGACAAGAAAAUUCAUGAAGAGUUCCAUAAUCAA